AUUGAACGCUGGCGGCAGGCCUAACACAUGCAAGUCGAACGAGUGGCGGACGGGUGAGUAAUGUCUGGGAAACUGCCUGUUGGCGGGGGAUAACUACUGGAAAGGGUAGCUAAUACCGCAUACCAUCAGAUGUGCCCAGAUGGGAUUAGCUAGUUGGUGGGGUAACGGAUCACCAAGGCGACGAUCCCUAGCUGGUCUGAGAGGAAGACCAGCCACACUGGAACGGCGACACGGUCCAGACUCCUACGGGAGGCAGCAGUGGGUAAUAUUGAGCAAUGGGGGCAAGCCGGAUGCAGCCAUGCCGCGUGUAUGAAGAAGGCCUUCGGGUUGUAAAGUACUUUCAGCGGGGAGGCGUUACCCGCAGAAGAAGCACCGGCUAACUCCGGGCCAGCCGCCGCGGUAAUAC
rnacentral:rRNA from 1 species